CCUACGGGAGGCAGCAGUAAGGAAUAUUGGUCAAUGGACGCAAGUCUGAACCAGCCAUGCCGCGUGAAGGAUGACGGCCCUCUGGGUUGUAAACUUCUUUUAUCUGGGACGAAAAAAGGGCUUUCUAGCUCACUUGACGGUACCAGAGGAAUAAGCACCGGCUAACUCCGUGCCAGCAGCCGCGGUAAUACGGAGGGUGCAAGCGUUAUCCGGAUUCACUGGGUUUAAAGGGUGCGUAGGUGGGUCUGUAAGUCAGUGGUGAAAUCUCCGAGCUUAACUCGGAAACUGCCAUUGAUACUAUAGGUCUUGAAUUAUCUGGAGGUAAGCGGAAUAUGUCAUGUAGCGGUGAAAUGCUUAGAUAUGACAUAGAACACCAAUUGCGAAGGCAGCUUACUACGGAUUGAUUGACACUGAGGCACGAAAGCGUGGGGAUCAAACAGGAUUAGAUACCCUGGUAGUCCACGCCCUAAACGAUGGAUACUCGACAUCAGCGAUACACUGUUGGUGUCUGAGCGAAAGCAUUAAGUAUCCCACCUGGAAGUACGACCGCAAGGUUGAAACUCAAAGGAAUUGACGG
rnacentral:rRNA from 1 species